CGGGGUAUAGCUCAGUUUGGUAGAGCGCUUGGUUCGGGACCAAGAGGCCACAGGUUCAAAUCCUGCUACUCCGACCA
rnacentral:tRNA from 1 species